GCCUCAUUGGCUCAAGGCAGAGCGUAUGUCUUGUAAACAGAAGGUCGCUGGUUGGAUUCCAGCAUGAGGCA
rnacentral:tRNA from 1 species